rnacentral:rRNA from 1 species
AUUGAACGCUGGCGGCAGGCCUAACACAUGCAAGUCGAGCGGAUGACGGGAGCUUGCUCCUUGAUUCAGCGGCGGACGGGUGAGUAAUGCCUAGGAAUCUGCCUGGUAGUGGGGGACAACGUUUCGAAAGGAACGCUAAUACCGCAUACGUCCUACGGGAGAAAGCAGGGGACCUUCGGGCCUUGCGCUAUCAGAUGAGCCUAGGUCGGAUUAGCUAGUUGGUGGGGUAAUGGCUCACCAGGGCGGCGAUCCGUAACUGGUCUGAGAGGAUAAUCAGUCACACUGGAACUGAGACACGGUGCAGACUCCUACGGGAGGCAGCAGUGGGGAAUAGUGGACAAUGGGCGAAAGCCUGAUCCAGCCAUGCCGCGUGUGUGAAGAAGGUCUUCGGAUUGUAAAGCACUUUAAGUUGGGAGGAAGGGCAGUAAGUUAAUACCUUGCUGUUUUGACGUUACCGACAGAAUAAGCACCGGCUAACUCUGUGCCAGCCGCCGCAGUAA